CUCAUUUUGACCCUAAUUUUUUGUAAACUUUCAAGUCUACAAACACUUAUUAUAAUUUGGCGACAGUUCUGCUGAGCGAAGGACAAGGCUAGGGAAACGUUUGUGAUGGAUAAACAUUUCUAGAUUUUUGUGAUGUUUAAAACACCAGAUAUUUCUCACCUAAAAGCUGAAGAUUAUGAUCAUGUAUAUGAGCCAGCAGAGGAUACCUUCUUGCUCCUGGAUGCACUGGAAAAGGACAAUGCUUUCAUCCAGAAGACCAGACCUACUCUGUGUGUAGAAGUGGGGUGUGGUUCUGGAACUGUUACGACGUUUCUUUCAAAAUUGCUUGGCAACUCAGCACAAUGUAUAGGGACUGACUUGAAUGGAUUUGCUACCAGCACAACAAAGAGGACUGCCAUCCAGAAUUCAGCAUCUGUGGAGAUUGUCCAGAUGGAUCUCGUUAAUUCCUUUCUACCAAGGCUUUGUGGCCAAGUUGACUUGAUUCUGUUUAAUCCACCUUAUGUUGUCACCCCCUCUGAGGAGGUUGGUGUUGGUGGCAUCACAGCUUCGUGGGCUGGUGGCAUCCAUGGUAUGGAAGUUACAAAUCGAUUCCUUCCAAUUGUGCCCAAACUUCUUUCUCAAGAGGGUGCAUUUUACUUGGUUGCAAUUAAAGAGAAUAAAAUUGGUAAUGCUUUCUAAUAAUACAGUCAAAAUUGUUUCAAAUUCAACAUUUUCAUAACAGUUUUUUUGUAAAGACAAUACUCUAUGCAUUAUAAGAUGAUAAAGCCAGUGCUGUCUGAUGUGGGGUCCAGCAAACUACAAAACCCAAGUAGCUAAGCCUCUGGAGCUAAAAAAAAAAAAACUGGGCAAUUUUAGGCCCUAUUAAAAAAAAUCCUUUAUUUCCGUUUUUGGUCUGAUAAUUUAAAAAAGCAUUUAUGAAUUGUGUACAACAUUAAAAGAACAGGCCCCUACUAUAGGUUAAAGAAAAAUUCAAACUACAGUACUCUACUAUGUUCUUGAAUUGUCCAUCCUAUGGGGAAGCCUAUGUGAAUCCCAUACUUUUUCUGCUCCUAAACUUAUAAAUAUAUAUAUUUAAUAUGAGCAUAACAGGUUUUGUUAUUUUAAAUUUGGAUUUUUUACCUCCUUUGAAAUAUGUAAAUACAUAGGUAAAAGUUAGUUAUUUUGUAUACAUAACAUGUAUUAAACUGUGGAGGUGUUUAGUUCAGUUAUAUAACUCCAUGAUAAAAGCAUCUUCGUAUUACAGUUAAACUUGCCUAAAAGCCGGCUUUGCCCAAGUCGAAUAAUUUCUAAGUCGAUCUAAUUUUACAUGCCGAAUCAUGUUUUUCAUUAUAUAACAAUCUGUAAGUCAAAUUUUAUCCAAGUC